rnacentral:lncRNA from 1 species
UGGCCGUGGGAACCUACCCUCUGCGAUUACCGUUAGGAUUAGAUUUAGUUCUUAGAGAUUGUUAUUAUGUGCCUGCAGCAAGCAGGAAUUUGAUUUUUGUUUCAUGUUUAGCACAAGAAAGCUAUGUAAUUAGCUUUCAUAAGAACCAUUAUAACAUAUUUUAUGAAAAUAAUAAAGUUGCAAAUGGUUUUCUUAUUAAUGGUCUCUAUCAGCUACAUAUUGAUGUAUCU